rnacentral:rRNA from 1 species
UACGUAGGGUGCAAGCGUUGUCCGGAUUUAUUGGGCGUAAAGAGCUUGUAGGCGGUUUGUUGCGUCUGCUGUGAAAUUUCGGGGCUCAACCCCGAACUUGCAGUGGGUACGGGCAGACUAGAGUGUGGUAGGGGAGACUGGAAUUCCUGGUGUAGCGGUGAAAUGCGCAGAUAUCAGGAGGAACACCGAUGGCGAAGGCAGGUCUCUGGGCCACUACUGACGCUGAGAAGCGAAAGCAUGGGGAGCGAACAGG